rnacentral:rRNA from 1 species
CUGUGAGCUCGAUGAGUAGGGCGGGACACGUGGUAUCCUGUCUGAAUAUGGGGGGACCAUCCUCCAAGGCUAAAUACUCCUGACUGACCGAUAGUGAACCAGUACCGUGAGGGAAAGGCGAAAAGAACCCCGGCGAGGGGAGUGAAAAAGAACCUGAAACCGUGUACGUACAAGCAGUGGGAGCACAGAGCAAUCUGUGUGACUGCGUACCUUUUGUAUAAUGGGUCAGCGACUUAUAUUCUGUAGCAAGGUUAACCGAAUAGGGGAGCCGAAGGGAAACCGAGUCUUAACUGGGCGUUAAGUUGCAGGGUAUAGACCCGAAACCCGGUGAUCUAGCCAUGGGCAGGUUGAAGGUUGGGUAACACUAACUGGAGGACCGAACCGACUAAUGUUGAAAAAUUAGCGGAUGACUUGUGGCUGGGGGUGAAAGGCCAAUCAAACCGGGAGAUAGCUGGUUCUCCCCGAAAGCUAUUUAGGUAGCGCCUCGUGAAUUCAUCUCCGGGGGUAGAGCACUGUUUCGGCAAGGGGGUCAUCCCGACUUACCAACCCGAUGCAAACUGCGAAUACCGGAGAAUGUUAUCACGGGAGACACACGGCGGGUGCUAACGUCCGUCGUGAAGAGGGAAACAACCCAGACCGCCAGCUAAGGUCCCAAAGUCAUGGUUAAGUGGGAAACGAUGUGGGAAGGCCCAGACAGCCAGGAUGUUGGCUUAGAAGCAGCCAUCAUUUAAAGAAAGCGUAAUAGCUCACUGGUCGAGUCGGCCUGCGCGGAAGAUGUAACGGGGCUAAACCAUGCACCGAAGCUGCGGCAGCGACGCUUAUGCGUUGUUGGGUAGGGGAGCGUUCUGUAAGCCUGCGAAGGUGUGCUGUGAGGCAUGCUGGAGGUAUCAGAAGUGCGAAUGCUGACAUAAGUAACGAUAAAGCGGGUGAAAAGCCCGCUCGCCGGAAGACCAAGGGUUCCUGUCCAACGUUAAUCGGGGCAGGGUGAGUCGACCCCUAAGGCGAGGCCGAAAGGCGUAGUCGAUGGGAAACAGGUUAAUAUUCCUGUACUUGGUGUUACUGCGAAGGGGGGACGGAGAAGGCUAUGUUGGCCGGGCGACGGUUGUCCCGGUUUAAGCGUGUAGGCUGGUUUUCCAGGCAAAUCCGGAAAAUCAAGGCUGAGGCGUGAUGACGAGGCACUACGGUGCUGAAGCAACAAAUGCCCUGCUUCCAGGAAAAGCCUCUAAGCAUCAGGUAACAUCAAAUCGUACCCCAAACCGACACAGGUGGUCAGGUAGAGAAUACCAAGGCGCUUGAGAGAACUCGGGUGAAGGAACUAGGCAAAAUGGUGCCGUAACUUCGGGAGAAGGCACGCUGAUAUGUAGGUGAAGUCCCUCGCGGAUGGAGCUGAAAUCAGUCGAAGAUACCAGCUGGCUGCAACUGUUUAUUAAAAACACAGCACUGUGCAAACACGAAAGUGGACGUAUACGGUGUGACGCCUGCCCGGUGCCGGAAGGUUAAUUGAUGGGGUUAGCGCAAGCGAAGCUCUUGAUCGAAGCCCCGGUAAACGGCGGCCGUAACUAUAACGGUCCUAAGGUAGCGAAAUUCCUUGUCGGGUAAGUUCCGACCUGCACGAAUGGCGUAAUGAUGGCCAGGCUGUCUCCACCCGAGACUCAGUGAAAUUGAACUCGCUGUGAAGAUGCAGUGUACCCGCGGCAAGACGGAAAGACCCCGUGAACCUUUACUAUAGCUUGACACUGAACAUUGAGCCUUGAUGUGUAGGAUAGGUGGGAGGCUUUGAAGUGUGGACGCCAGUCUGCAUGGAGCCGACCUUGAAAUACCACCCUUUAAUGUUUGAUGUUCUAACGUUGACCCGUAAUCCGGGUUGCGGACAGUGUCUGGUGGGUAGUUUGACUGGGGCGGUCUCCUCCUAAAGAGUAACGGAGGAGCACGAAGGUUGGCUAAUCCUGGUCGGACAUCAGGAGGUUAGUGCAAUGGCAUAAGCCAGCUUGACUGCGAGCGUGACGGCGCGAGCAGGUGCGAAAGCAGGUCAUAGUGAUCCGGUGGUUCUGAAUGGAAGGGCCAUCGCUCAACGGAUAAAAGGUACUCCGGGGAUAACAGGCUGAUACCGCCCAAGAGUUCAUAUCGACGGCGGUGUUUGGCACCUCGAUGUCGGCUCAUCACAUCCUGGGGCUGAAGUAGGUCCCAAGGGUAUGGCUGUUCGCCAUUUAAAGUGGUACGCGAGCUGGGUUUAGAACGUCGUGAGACAGUUCGGUCCCUAUCUGCCGUGGGCGCUGGAGAACUGAGGGGGGCUGCUCCUAGUACGAGAGGACCGGAGUGGACGCAUCACUGGUGUUCGGGUUGUCAUGCCAAUGGCACUGCCCGGUAGCUAAAUGCGGAAGAGAUAAGUGCUGAAAGCAUCUAAGCACGAAACUUGCCCCGAGAUGAGUUCUCCCUGACUCCUUGAGAGUCCUGAAGGAACGUUGAAGACGACGACGUUGAUAGGCCGGGUGUGUAAGCGCAGCGAUGCGUUGAGCUAACCGGUACUAAUGAACCGUGAGGCUUAACCUU